rnacentral:rRNA from 1 species
GACGUAGGGCGCGAGCGUUGUCCGGAUUUAUUGGGCGUAAAGAGCUCGUAGGCGGCUUGUCGCGUCGACUGUGAAAUCCCGCGGCUCAACUGCGGGUCUGCAGUCGAUACGGGCAGGCUAGAGUUCGGUAGGGGAGACUGGAAUUCCUGGCGUAGCGGUGAAAUGCGCAGAUAUCAGGAGGAACACCGAUGGCGAAGGCAGGUCUCUGGGCCGAUACUGACGCUGAGGAGCGAAAGCGUGGGGAGCGAACAGG